rnacentral:rRNA from 1 species
CCUACGGGAGGCUGCAGUGAGGAAUAUUGGUCAAUGGGAGAGAUCCUGAACCAGCCAAGCCGCGUGAGGGAAGACGGCCCUAUGGGUUGUAAACCUCUUUUGUCGGAGAACAAAACCCGGGACGUGUCCCGGACUGCGUGUAUCCGAAGAAAAAGCAUCGGCUAACUCCGUGCCAGCAGCCGCGGUAAUACGGAGGAUGCGAGCGUUAUCCGGAUUUAUUGGGUUUAAAGGGUGCGUGGGCGGUCCGUUAAGUCAGCGGGAAAAUUGCGGGGCUCAACCCCGUCGAGCCGUGGAAACUGGCAGACUUGAGUCGGCGAGAAGUACGCGGAAUGCGCGGUGUAGCGGUGAAAUGCAUAGAUAUGGCGAAGAACUCCGAUUGCGAAGGCAGCGUACCGGAGCGAGACUGACGCUGAGGCACGAAAGCGUGGGGAUCGAACAGGAUUAGAUACCCCGGUAGUC